rnacentral:rRNA from 1 species
UACGGAAGGCAGCAGUGGGGAAUAUUGCACAAUGGGCGAAAGCCUGAUGCAGCUAUGCCGCGUGUAUGAAGAAGGCCUUAGGGUUGUAAAGUACUUUCAUCGGGGAGGAAAAACAAAACUAAUAAUUUUAUUUCUUGACGUUACCCGAAAAAGAAGCACCGGCUAACUCCGUGCCAGCAGCCGCGGUAAUACGGAGGGUGCUAGCGUUAAUCAGAAUUACUGGGCGUAAAGAGCACGUAGGUGGUUUUUUUAAGUCAGAUGUGAAAUCCCUGGGCUUAACCUGGAACUGCAUUUUGAAGCUGAAAUACUAGAGUAUCGUAGAGGGAGGUAGAAUUCUAGGUGUAGCGGUGAAAUGCGUAGAUAUCUGGAGGAAUACCUGUGGCGAAAGCGGCCUCCUAAACGAAUACUGACACUGAGGUGCGAAAGCGUGGGGAGCAAACAGGGAUUAGAUACC